rnacentral:tRNA from 1 species
CAGGGAAUAGUUUAAAUAGAACACUAGCUUUGGGUGCUGGUAGUGGAGCUAUUACUUCUUCCUUGA